UACGUAGGGGGCAAGCGUUGUCCGGAUUUAUUGGGCGUAAAGAGCUCGUAGGUGGUUCGGUAAGUCGGAUGUGAAAUCUCCAGGCUCAACCUGGAGGGGUCAUUCGAUACUGCCGUGACUAGAGGUCGGUAGGGGAGUGUGGAAUUCCCGGUGUAGCGGUGAAAUGCGCAGAUAUCGGGAGGAACACCAGUAGCGAAGGCGGCUCGCUGGGCCAUACCUGACGCUGAGACGCGAAAGCGUGGGGAGCAAACAGG
rnacentral:rRNA from 1 species